ensembl:lncRNA
UGAGGCAUGAAUGCGGUGGUUUUUGUUUUUUUUUCUUUUUUACACAUAAGGCAGUCAGUUAUUGCCCCAGGACUAUAGGAGAGGAUACAAAGAACCCAGGUCCCUUCAAUGUGGAGGGACUUCCCCAUUUCCUGGGGACACUGACUCCAUUUUUCAGCCACCUGCCCAAGAUGUCAGGGCCUGCACAAGGGACCAGAGGCAGAUGAGGUAGACAAUGGUGAUGUCACAAUGAGAAGUGAGAAAUAAUGGAGGCAGCUCCCUUCCCCACAGCAACCAUCCAGAGAGGCUUGCAGGUCUCAGCUAUCAGUAGCAGACCCUGGGAUAUCCAGGGCAUCAGCACAUAGAAGCAGUAAAAGGGUCUUCCCUCAUAGUGACACAUGUCAUAGAUUCAGAUUUACACAAACAAAAGCUGAGCAAAUCCUGAAAAGAGUCUCUGUUAUUUUCAACAAUAUAAUCAUAGAGGAAUUGUAUUGAUUUCCUUUACAAGGCCCUGCCCUCUUCUCUGGGCUGCACCGACAUCAAAGAUGAAAGGGAGGAGGCCAUGAAGAACAAGAGCCCCCUUUACACACCAACCUAGUCAUGGUCAUGGUGGUGAUGACUGAAAAUGAAAAGGAACCAGGCUGAAAAAUUCGUCUCUGAGGACCCAGAGUAAUAAAAUCCCAGGAUAAGGAAGGCCUUUAGCAGAUAUACGGCCUGCUGUCCCAUUCAGUCUGGAAAACACCUCCUCAGCAUCCCUGCAGAGAGUCACCUGCUUUGCGUGAGGAUUUCCAGUGGGAGGGGAGCCACUUCCCCAGGACGCCCUGAUCCUAAUGUCAGAAGUAAGUUCAGCAUAAAUGCAGAUGGUUGGAGCCCAUCUUACACCCGAGGGUGUUCCUGCACAUCUUUUAAUGCCUUCACUUUGAAGCUGACCAGAUCUCUUCUCACUGGCCUUGUGAGAUGGGCUUUGCUGUCUCCACAGUCUCAGUUUUGAGUCCCAGCUCUACUACUGAUUGGCUAUAUUUUCUCAUCUAUAAAUUGUGUAUAACCACAAAUGAUUAUUAUAUGAGGUAAUACCAAUAAAAUGCUUAGCAUGGUAUUUAACAUAUAUUAAUGGUUUUUAUCAAUAUGUUUGCACAACUUAUGAUUAUGGUAAAGCACAUUAUUAAAUCCUUGGAAUUAUUUUCUAAUCUGUGAAAUAAGUUUAGAUGAUUACUAAAACCUCUAAUUUUGAAAUUUUGUGUCUACAUCCUCUUUUUAUAAAUUGAUAUAACAUCAAGUAGAUUUUUUUGUCUGAGAUGUAAUUAUUUUCACUGUAUUUUCAAAUAUUCAACGGGAAAGACCACGGAGAAGUAUUGCCCAAGUACGCUGAAUCCCAAAAGCUGUGAUCCAAAAAAUGCUAUGGAGAUAAAUAUCUUGUAGUUGAAUACUUACUAAAGAAAUUGUAGCAUAUAGCACACUUAAAACACUAUAGAAAAGUAGAGAAGCUAAAAGUGAACUGCCUCAUGUGUGAAUUCUAUUGCUACUUGGAAAUGCACCUAAGAAACAUUACAUGAAAAGAGCAAAAUAUCAAGGCUCU